rnacentral:rRNA from 1 species
AGGCUAAGUUACUAAGGGCGUACGAUGGAUGCCUUGGUGCCAAAGGCCGAAGAAGGGCGCGGUUGACUGCGAAAAGCUGCGGGGAGUCGUCAGCAGAUUAUGAUCCGCAGGUACCCGAAUGGGGAAACCCGGCGAGGGUGAUGCCUCGUCACCGCAUGCUGAAUUAAUAGGCAUGCGGAGGGAACCGCCCGAACUGAAUCAUCUUAGUAGGGCGAGGAAAAGAGAUUAUUCCCUGAGUAGUGGCGAGCGAAAGGGGAUCAGCCCAAACUCACGCUGUGUCAUAGGUUGCAGCCGUUGCAGUGUGAGGGUUGGAGGCCGCAACAGAGUCCUCUGCAAGGGGCUCGGAGAGUUGGAGAAAAGCUGUGGUUAGUGGAAGGCCCUGGAACGGCCCGCCACAGAGGGUGAUAGCCCCGUACACGAAAACCACGGCUCUCUCGUUGCUGUGCCUGAGUACCACGGGACACGUGUAACCCUGUGGGAAGCUGGGGAGCCCACUUCCCAAGGCUAAACACCUUUGGCGACCGAUAGUGAACGAGUACCGUGAGGGAAAGGUGAAAAGAACCCCGGGAGGGGAGUGAAAUAGAACCUGAAA